GCGGGAAUAGCUUAGUUGGGAGAGCGUCAGACUGAAGAUUUGAAGGUCGCGUGUUCGAUUCAUGCUUAUCGCA
rfam:Musa acuminata subsp. malaccensis Doubled-haploid Pahang (DH-Pahang) genomic chromosome, chr9